AAGACUAUACUUUCAGGGAUCAUUUCUGUAGUUUGUUACCAGGGAAGUUUCUCUGAACGUGAAGUUAAAGGAAGCUUUAUGUAGAUUCUGGCUUUUUAUGGAUUCUUUUCUGACAGU
rnacentral:snoRNA from 1 species